CAAGUGCAAGGUCAGCUGACCGAGUUAUAAAUACCGUGGGGAACAUGAGCCCAUGUCGUCGCUGUAAACCUGCUCGGGAUGCCACGAAGAAUUGAGAAAAACAUCCUUUUUCAUUUUCUGCAAGGCCCAUCUGAAGAAUGCAUGUCAUGAAAAGAACACUGCAUGGGAUUUUGCCAACCAGCCCUGGAACCUAUUUGCUGCUGUUCCUCCUCUCUUCUGCUCGGCCGGUCAAAGAGGCUGUGCUAUGUGUUAACAAGCGCUCCCCACCCCUUCUCAUGAACUCUACUGACCUGGGGCCUAGACGCAGACGGAUAUCAACGUGCCCGUCCCAAAACAUGACCCAGGCACAUGGUUGCCUGACAGGGAUCAAAGGUCACGUCAGUAAAAUAUGACUCUAAAACUAGCUCAGUCCUCGCAGACACGCAGCUUGAGGGGGAGAGAGGGAAGCAUUCAUUUCUGUUGAAGCAGGAGCAUGCACUUGAAUUUGGAGGGUAGCGUGCACAGGAGAAAAAUAUCUUGCAAGAUCUGUCUGUUUUCAAGAUACUGAGACUGCUGUUUUACAAACCACAAAGUUUUGACAGGAAGGCAAAAAACUAUAUGACGUUUGUUUACAUUCCAAAUGCUUGAGAGUACAAGGCACAUAUAAACACCUAACUCAUUUAUUUAUAGCACAAAGCUCAGUGUCAUUUUUCAGCAGCUGUUCAUGACGUAUACGUUGCGCACAAACAGUAAACACUGAAUAUGAAAAGUUCAUGUGAGGUAAACAUAGAGAACUUUGAACUACUUUCAUGCUGCAUACAUGGGACUUACUGAGAAGUAUAUAUUUAUUCUUCCGGUGCUAUGCGCUCGGUGCGUAAUAAUUGUUGAACCUUAGAUGACCCCGAUGCAUCAAGUAUACAGUGGGGUCAAACUGCCAAUAAUGUGUUGUCCUGCACAGAUAAGGGGAGGCCAGCUCUUUACAACAGCGAGUAUAUUUUACCUGAAGUGUGAAAAACCUUGUAGUGGGAGUUUUGUUGUGUGGUUGUGUGACUGUAAACUUUUUUUGUUGUCAGGUCUCCAUCUCAAUGACAGUAGCUGAUGAAGUAAAAAGUGUGAAUAACCUAUCAUGAAGCACCACAUAAGAUGCUGUAGAACUGAAGAAUUAGUCAAUUAAUCGAUUAGUCGAUCGAGAAAAAAUGAAUCGGCAACUAUUUUGGCAGUGGAUUACUUAUUUAUGUCUUUUUUUAAGAAAAAAUUCAAACUAUACCAUAGUCCUGGCUUCUUCAUGUGAAGAUCUGUUGUUUUUCUUUGUCUUAUGUGAUAGCAAUUUUGUUUUUUACAACAAAAUACGCUACUCGAACACAUUAACUUAGUCUUUAGGCAGUUGUAACAGACAUUUCCCAAGGCACAAUGUGGGUGAGCUACCAUUAAAUCUGGUGACAUUUAGGUCCAAAAGGGAACAUUUUAGUAAGGUCACCAAUCCGUAUGAAUUUAGAGCUGGCAGCACUCUGACAGGCAUUUUUGAACAGUAAAGCACCUGUAGCAACAUUGGAAUUUUAUUUUUUAAAAUGUCAAGUAAAACAUUAGGAAACUAACGAUAAGGUUUCCUGAUAAUGUCUCUCAAUAUUUCAGAGCACAUUUUAUCGGCCCAUCUCUGUCGGUGUGGUGUAUUACGGGCUGUAGAUAAGUUGCAUAUUAGAAUAAAGAAAAGCACAGUUUACUCACUCAUCAUCAAACAGGAACCUCACUCUUCUUUACUUUAAUGUCUGUGGUUUCCUUCCACAGAAGGGGACUGCUGACUUUCAAAUUAGUCCAUCAAGUUUCCUCUCAGCACUUGAGAUAUACAUUUUAUACAUUCUGUGUGUUGUAGUUCUACUUUGUAUUGGUGGUCCACCUCAUCUUAUUUUUGUCAACACUGGAGCUUUUGUUGUUGUUGCAGGUGCACAGAGAAUUUGAGCAAUUGGAAGGAUUUCAGAGCCUUGCUGUUCCGCCCUGGUUCAACUGAGUACAAGAUAAUAACAGCAGUGGAUUAAAAAGAGCAAAAGUCAUCUGAGGACAACGACUCUUGUCCUCGUGGUCCGUCCUUGGAUAAAUUGCUUAGAGGGGAUAUGUGAAUAGUGGCUUUGUUGCACCACACCAAAGAAUGCAUCUUCAGUCUGUAAGUGGCUCAGUGGAUUGUACAUGCAAAGGUAAGGUCAGCUCUGAGGACCGUUCUGUGCAUGUAAAUCAUGUGGCAAGCAAUGUGUCACUGUCUGAGAGCUUGUCUGGACAACGCACACCUCUCAGUAGGAGUUAAUUGAAAAUAUCUGAAUACAUUAAUAGACUGACAAAGAUUGGUCACCACCAGCCUAACAAGAUCAGGCUUGCUUUUUGUUUUUCCUUUUUGCCCUUUUGUAUUAUUUUUUCUUUUAAAUCAUUUUUUUCCCCCUGUAAAGCCUUUUGCGACUUUGUUUGCGCUGUAUGAAUGCAGAUUAUUAUCAUAAUAGCAAGGGUGGAAAAGUUUCAAUAUAUACUCGGGAAAAGAACAAAAGAUCUUCACCGAGGGGAGAAUUGACCACCUUGACCAUAUGGACUGUCAGGCAAUAAAUGUGCAGUGUCAAUAUAAACACAUAUUGCAGCACUCGACCUCUCACUACGUGCUAUCUGUGGAAAAGUACCAGAGUGCACUGUGUCACCAUGGCGGAUUCCCCUGUUGUUUUACAGCAAAGCCUCAGGGAGGAGGAUGGGGGUGGGCAGGGCUGCGCAGAAACAAGAGGUGCGGUGUGUGCAUGUGUGUGUUUAUGGGUGUAUGUUUGUGUGAGAGAGUGAGAGACCUUAUAGAUGUGAUCCCGGGUGCCUUUCCAGUGGUUUAGCUUUGGAAAUUUACCUUCACAAUAGAGCAGCUGGGAAAAUUUGGAUGAGGAAAAUGAAUGAGGGAUGAUGUCUUUCACCUCAUUAGCAGAAGAAGACCAGUUGUUGGACCAGGCAGCUCCCACGGGUCAAUGUGGACAUGUAUGCAAACAGCAUGUUGCUGAAUAAGUGUGUGUGUGUGUGUGUGUGUGUGUGUGUGUGUUCUAAAAUAAACAUAUGGAUCAGGUUGUCAUAUUGAAGAAUCUGCAGUCAUGAAACAUUUGUAAUUUGUUCUUUGUACUUCUAACGUAUAGAAACUCAUCUGGACAUCGUCCUCUAAUAAAUUUUGCACACAUUUUAAAGGGAUAACAAAAACAAUGCCUGCAGCAUAUGUUUGUUUAUGUCUGUGUAUCACCCCUACACACUCAUCUUAUCUGCUACAUACUGUAGCAACAAGGAGAUGCCAGCAGUCAACCAAUGAGAUGCACAUUCAAUGCAAACCAUCUCGCUUGAUUUAAAAAGAUAUGUUACUGUAAAGAGGAAGAUAGUCACAAAUGUAAAAAAAAAGGAGAAUUUCAUUUUAAUUAAUUAUAUUUCUGUCUAAUUUCUAAAUGUGUUAU